UUCAAAUUUAUCUAUUUAAAAAAUUUAAAUGAUUUCCUAGGAUUGUAUAAAUAACAAAGUUAUCUUCUCUAUUUGUCCAACUCUCAGUAUUUUGAGCCAAAAUGUUGGAUUGAGUGAAUUUUACCAUCCUGCAGUUAGGUUCAUAGAGGAUGGUCUCAAUCUAAAUGUUGGUGCUGGAAACCCUAAUCUGGUUGGUGGCU